UACGUAGGGGCCAAGCGUUGUCCGGAUUUAUUGGGCGUAAAGAGCUCGUAGGUGGUUCGGCAAGUCAGUUGUGAAAUCUCCGGGCUUAACCCGGAACGGUCAGCCGAUACUGCAGGGCUAGAGUGCAGAAGGGGCAACCGGAAUUCUCGGUGUAGCGGUGAAAUGCGUAGAUAUCGAGAGGAACACCUGCGGCGAAGGCGGGUUGCUGGGCUGACACUGACGCUGAGGCGCGAAAGCUAGGGGAGCGAACGGG
rnacentral:rRNA from 1 species